AUGCAACAGCACAUAUGCUAACAUUGGAAGGAGACAGAAAAAGUUAGCCUGGCCUCUGUGCAAAGAUGACAUGCAAAUUUGCCAAGUGGCCCACGGUUUU
ensembl:snRNA Gm24504 predicted gene, 24504